rnacentral:rRNA from 1 species
AGAGUUUGAUCAUGGCUCAGGACUAACGCUGGCGGCGUGCCUAACACAUGCAAGUCGAACGAGUUGUUUAUAGUAGCAAUAUUACGAACAGCAAGUGGCGAACGGGUGAGUAACACGUAGAUAAUCUGCCUUUCAGACGGGGACAACUCAGGGAAACUUGUGCUAAUACCCGAUGAGACUACGGGAGGGGACUUCUGUAGCCAAAAGUGGGGGCAACCUCACGCUGAAAGAUGAGUCUGCGUCCUAUCAGCUAGUUGGUGGGGUAAAAGCCUACCAAGGCGAAGACGGGUAGCCGGCCUGAGAGGGUGAACGGCCACACUGGGACUGAGACACGGCCCAGACUCCUACGGGAGGCAGCAGUGAGGAAUUUUCCGCAAUGGGCGCAAGCCUGACGGAGCGACGCCGCGUGAGGGAUGACGGCCUUCGGGUUGUAAACCUCUUUUAUUAGGGAAAAAGGUUGGCAUGCUAAC